ensembl:lncRNA
UGCAGGAGCGUCCGAGGUGUCUCGGGCUCAACAGAAGAUUUAUUCGCUAGGAGGGGAAAAUGCCCAAACAAUGAAGAACUAACUGCACUUGUCACCUCAAGAUGCUUGCGGUCCUUCUCUCUGUUCUCCUUCCCCGGCAACCGGACGCGCCGGCGCCCAGCCCGCGCGCGUCCUAACACACCGGGCGCAGAUGGCAUCGCCCAGAGGUGGCCGAGGGUGCGGUUAGAAAAUAGCCAGAGAAGCCCACGAGGCGAGCCGCGCUCGCCGCGAUCCACCGGGCUAGCUCCCCAGGCGGGUCUCCAGAGUGGCCUCGGCCGUAAACCCGCCGCGCACGGUCCCCCGCGAACCUUGAAAAAGUCUCCGCCAAGUAAGACACCAAGAACUGAGGCCGACUUAAGCCUGGUGGGUGAAUGCAAGACACUUUACUGCUAAUUUGUUAGAAAAAGGGAAGGGAACAAGUAAGACGAUUUAGGUUCAGUGGGUCCGAGUAAGAUUCCGAGGAUCAAGCUCAUGCCUUUAUAUUACUUUUGGAACUCGAAUUUGCCAACGUUGCCCAUUGUAUAAAUAUAAAUAACUAUUGGGAUUGAAAGCUUUUCCCUCUCUUUGAGACUUUAAUGUCCUUCCGAGAGGCCUCUAAAUUAAAUUUUGAAAUUACUCAAAUCAAUAGUUUCCAUCUCCUCCUUUCAUUAGCUGAAGUGAGAGCGAGGGGUUGGAUUUCUGGAUUUUUCUCAAGUGCUACAUGGCACCCCUUCUGUCAUCUGGGGAGGCAAUUACUCGAUAAUUAAGGGACUCACACAGCUCUUUUUAUCUUGUCUGCGGUAAGGAGUAGGCGAUCAAAGUAAAGGCUGUCCAAGUUCAAGCCCUGGCUAGGAUGGAGUUCAUACACAAGGGCUCAGGCAGGCCAGCCUCUGCUUGGGCUAGUGUUGUUAUUGUUGACGUCAAUCCGACGAGGCUGACAAAGAAAUAGGUGGACUGGAAAGUGAGCCUACUAUCAAAGGAGAUUACUGAUUUUGUGAUCUCAACCAACUGCAGAGGUGUGAAGUUGCAUUUGAGCUUCUUAGAAGGCAAACAAAUCAUCAGUUUUUAAGUUCUUGGGGAAAAAAAAUUUGUAACAAUAUUUUAAAAAAAUAUCUUCACAAAAUACAAAAUACCCACAACCCUGAAACGUCCUGGUGGCACAAAGCUUCCCCUGCAGGAGUGAAUUAACCCGGGCCUCCCUGGGCCUCCUCGAAAGCUGCCGUGAUGGUUAAUUUUCGCCUCUCCUUUAGUAAAAAGACAGUUCUGGAUCCUCUCUUGUAGACAACUUAAUUUUAUCGGCUACAUCUGAUAUUUUAUUCUCACUCAAAUACUUUCAGAUAAAGGAAAAUGAUACACUGGAGAAGGGGGGGAAGGUAGUUAAAUUAAUAAUAUUUGAGUUCAUUGUAGAAAGGCUCAAAGGAAGCACAGAAGACUUAAGCCCUUGUCAAAAAUUGAAGUAAACAUUACAAGGAAUAAAGAAUCUUUCAAAAACUCA